AGUGAACGCUGGCGGUAGGCCUAACACAUGCAAGUCGAACGGCAGCACAGUAAGAGCUUGCUCUUACGGGUGGCGAGUGGCGGACGGGUGAGGAAUACAUCGGAAUCUACUUUUUCGUGGGGGAUAACGUAGGGAAACUUACGCUAAUACCGCAUACGACUUACGGGUGAAAGCAGGGGAUCUUCGGACCUUGCGCGAUUGAAUGAGCCGAUGUCGGAUUAGCUAGUUGGCGGGGUAAAGGCCCACCAAGGCGACGAUCCGUAGCUGGUCUGAGAGGAUGAUCAGCCACACUGGAACUGAGACACGGUCCAGACUCCUACGGGAGGCAGCAGUGGGGAAUAUUGGACAAUGGGCGCAAGCCUGAUCCAGCCAUACCGCGUGGGUGAAGAAGGCCUUCGGGUUGUAAAGCCCUUUUGUUGGGAAAGAAAAGCAGCAGGUUAAUACCCCGCUGUUCUGACGGUACCCAAAGAAUAAGCACCGGCGAACUUCGU
rnacentral:rRNA from 1 species